ACUUGGUGUUACUGCGAAGGGGGGACGGAGAAGGCUAUGUUGGCCGGGCGACGGUUGUCCCGGUUUAAGCGUGUAGGCUGGUUUUCCAGGCAAAUCCGGAAAAUCAAGGCUGAGGCGUGAUGACGAGGCACUACGGUGCUGAAGCAACAAAUGCCCUGCUUCCAGGAAAAGCCUCUAAGCAUCAGGUAACAUCAAAUCGUACCCCAAACCGACACAGGUGGUCAGGUAGAGAAUACCAAGGCGCUUGAGAGAACUCGGGUGAAGGAACUAGGCAAAAUGGUGCCGUAACUUCGGGAGAAGGCACGCUGAUAUGUAGGUGAAGCGACUUGCUCGUGGAGCUGAAAUCAGUCGAAGAUACCAGCUGGCUGCAACUGUUUAUUAAAAACACAGCACUGUGCAAACACGAAAGUGGACGUAUACGGUGUGACGCCUGCCCGGUGC
rnacentral:rRNA from 1 species